CCUACGGGGGGCUGCAGUGGGGAAUUUUGGACAAUGGGCGCAAGCCUGAUCCAGCAAUGCCGCGUGAGUGAAGAAGGCCUUCGGGUUGUAAAGCUCUUUCAGUUGAGAAGAAAAAAUUCUGGCUAAUAUCUGGAAUUCAUGACGGUAUCAACAGAAGAAGCACCGGCUAACUACGUGCCAGCAGCCGCGGUAAUACGUAGGGUGCGAGCGUUAAUCGGAAUUACUGGGCGUAAAGGGUGCGCAGGUGGUUUUGUAAGUCAGAUGUGAAAUCCCCG
rnacentral:rRNA from 1 species